CGGGCUUGCCGAGUUUCUGAACAGCAGCUACACUUUGCUGAAGAGACAAGUGAUAGAAGAUGACACCAGAGAAUGUAUAAGGGACCAGGGAGAAGCACACGAGACAAGAAAAAGGUAAAAAAGCAAAUGCCUUAGUAUUUGGCUGCAUACAGAUUCAAGGUUUUAGAAUUUAAAAAAGUGAAACAAAAUUAGAAAUUUG
rnacentral:lncRNA from 1 species